CUGCACGUCUGCUAACAUUUUGCAAAGGCGAAAUUAACGGACACCUAAAGGUCCUACUAGGAUAUAUAGCGCAAGACUGCCGACGGGACAGACCUGUUUGUGUUGGCGGUCGUCUUGGAACAACGUUUAGAUUGCCAAAGAUCCCAUGACGCUUCGCUUCUGCCUUGACUCGAGAGUGAAGAUGUUGGUGAGAUCUGAGCGUGUUCAAUAUUGAGCACGUGCAUCACAAUCUUUGAUCAAUUUACUGAUUACGUUUGUGUUGUUGUUACGUUAAUAGUUUCUUCAAAGAUGUUUUGUAAGUUUGAUAUUUAAAUUCUUUCCGCAUUAUGUAUCUUUUGCAAACGUGUAUAUUCACAUUCCCUUAAUUAAAGUCACUGGAUUUGUCUUGA